rnacentral:rRNA from 1 species
AUUGAACGCUGGCGGCAGGCCUAACACAUGCAAGUCGAACGAGUGGCGGACGGGUGAGUAAUGUCUGGGAAACUGCCUGAUGGAGGGGGAUAACUACUGGACACGGUAGCUAAUACCGCAUACCAUCAGAUGUGCCCAGAUGGUAUUAGCUUGGUGGUGGUGGAACGGCUCACCAAGGCGACGAACCGUAGCUGGUCUGAGAGGAUGACCAGCCACACUGGAACUGUGACACGGUCUAGACUCCUACGGGAGGCAUCAGUGGGGAAUAUGGCACAAGGGGCGCAAGCCUUAUGCAGCCAUGCCGCGUGUAUGAAGAAGGCCUUCGGGUUGUAAAGUACUUUCAGCGGGGAGGCGUUACCCGCAGAAGAAGUACCGGCUAACUCCGUGCCAGCAGCCGCGGUAAUAC